AAUGGAUGAAAUAUGAAGUUUUAUUAAAAGAAAAAGGGGUGAAAAGAACAAAGUUUUGUCCAUCUUUGUUCAUCAUAGCUGAAAGUUAGAGAAGAGAAAGGAGAGGAGAAAGCUCUUGAGUAUUCGGUCAUUAGGAGGAGGAAAAUUGAAGGCUGUUCGUGUGUGGAUCUCGUCAACAUAUCGUCGCAAACAGCUCAUUUUUUAGGCCUAUAUUUUUGCUAAAGUCCUCUCACAUUUUGGGCGGAACUUUUGGGCCAGACCGAAUGGCCUGACCCAUGAUCAAGUCUAGUUAGAAGAAACGUUAGAGGACUUGGUGUUGGAGGCGGAAGCAGAGAUUGGUUUAAUUGAAGCAUGCACCAUCUCAGGAUUUAUCUCUUCAAGCUUACCAAAGACAUGGGUAGAGGCGGGACAGAAUUUGGUAGAGGAAAACAAAUGUAUAGAAUCUAACUAAUUAUAUUUGAAGCAUAUAAAUGCAUCUCAAAAAUUAUACUUGAGGUUCAGACCAACUUUCUUAAUUUGUGUCUGUCUCAUCAAAUAAGACAGAAAAAGGAGAUUGAAGGUGUUGAGAUGUGCUGUGCCCUUGAUCAUGGGUGUUUCGUCUUUUUGAAGUGUUUGGAGUUCAGCAGCACAUACCAAGAUAAUCCAAUCAACUUCGGAGAUGAGAAAUAGUGGUCUUGUCGAAAUUAAUCUCGCUGCCUCCAUCAACCAAACCGUAACUCCCAAGCGGUGACUCAUCAUGUCUCCGGCGUAGUGGAAUUUGGAUGGGAAUACCACGACUCCGAUACUGCCUCCAUGGUGAAGGAGAAUACAGAAGUAUGUAGGAAAACUACCCCCACCACCAGCAUUACCACCGAGGUUGGUCUUUAUUUGAGAAGCAUAAGCUUGAAAAGGUUUGAUUUUAGAGCGUUAUGGCAUGUUAUAUAAGUAGGGUUAUGGGUACAUGAUUCAUGAUAACCGGCUUAAGGUAUAAUAAAAAAAGAAUUAUAAGUCUUAAGUCGCCUAUUAAAAGCUUUUUAAAUGAAAGAGUGUUGUAUAGAAAGUAAUAGGGCAUUUCUUGGAAGGUCCCAUGCAGGCAGGACCUAGUCAAAUUUGCUUCGUUACGUGAAAUUCAAGCCCACUAUUGACAUUUAUCGUUAAAAAAUAAAAA